GGGAUCCGUUGACUACUACUGCAGCAAGUGUCCCCGUGACUACAGCGGCAGGCAUUGUGAACAUUAUGAAAGUCAAGAUUACUGUCAUCCAAACCCCUGUCGCAAUGGUGGAGUAUGUCUGACUACUCGUCCCGGGCUGAACGCCGACAUGGGGGAUCCGUUGAAUACGACUGCAAGUGCCCUACUGGAUACAGCGGACGGCGAUGGUGAGCAUUACCGUGCUCAUGAUAUUCAAGGAUGCGUGUUGGGCCGUACGCAGACUGC